rnacentral:rRNA from 1 species
UGGGGAAUAUUGCACAAUGGGCGAAAGCCUGAUGCAGCGACGCCACGUGAGGGAUGACGGCCUUCGGGUUGUAAACCUCUUUCAGUAGGGAAGAAGCGAAAGUGACGGUACCUGCAGAAGAAGCGCCGGCUAACUACGUGCCAGCAGCCGCGGUAAUACGUAGGGCGCAAGCGUUAUCCGGAAUUAUUGGGCGUAAAGAGCUCGUAGGCGGUUUGUCGCGUCUGCCGUGAAAGUCCGGGGCUCAACUCCGGAUCUGCGGUGGGUACGGGCAGACUAGAGUGAUGUAGGGGGAGACUGGAAUUCCUGGUGUAGCGGUGAAAUGCGCAGAUAUCAGGAGGAACACCGAUGGCGAAGGCAGGUCUCUGGGCAUUAACUGACGCUGAGGAGCGAAAGCAUGGGGAGCGAACAGGAUUAGAUACCCUGGUAGUCCAUGCCGUAAACGUUGGGCGCUAGGUGUGGGGAACCUUCCACGUUCUCCGUGCCGCAGCUAACG